rnacentral:misc_RNA from 1 species
GGAUUAUCUUCUUUGGAUCGAUCUCAAAAUGACAAUCUUAAGACGGGCUUUAAGAGGUCGCGAGCUGGAAUUUCUGAGUCAUUUAGUCAGGGAGGAGCAGUGAUCAAUCCAUCAACAAGUGAUUAUGCCUCAAUGGAUGCUAAUAAUUCUGCAAUUACUGAAGGAAGUGAUCAGAUUGGGCUUCAGUGGGGUUGGGAUGAUGAUGAUAGAAAUGCAGGGAUGGAUAUUCAGGCACUUCUCUCAGAGUUUGGAGAUUUUGGUGACUUCUUUGAGAAUGAUGCUUUGCCAUUUGGAGAGCCUCCAGGAACUGCAGAGGCUCAGGCUCUUAUGUUUCCUGCAGCAGAUAGUGUGGAUGUUAGUAGCAGCCCCUGUCCUUCGAUGAUGGAUGUGCAAGAUCAGAUUCUUUUGCCAGUAGGUUUUUC